rnacentral:rRNA from 1 species
CCUACGGGAGGCAGCAGUGAGGAAUAUUGGUCAAUGGGCUUACGCCUGAACCAGCCAAGUCGCGUGAGGGAAGACUGCCCUAUGGGUUGUAAACCUCUUUUGUCAGGGAGCAACGCCGGCUACGUGUAGCCGGACGGAGAGUAGCUGAAGAAAAAGCAUCGACUAACUCCGUGCCAGCAGCAGCGGUAAUACGGAGGAUGCGAGCGUUAUCCGGAUUUGGUGGGUUUAAAGGGUGCGUAGGCGGAAUGCCAAGUCAGCGGUAAAAUCGCGGGGCUCAAACCCGCUCCGCCGUUGAAACUGGCGUUCUUGGGUGGGCGAGAAGUAUGCGGAAUGCGUGGUGUAGCGGUGAAAUGCAUAGAUAUCACGCAGAACUCCGAUUGCGACGGCAGCAUACCGGCGCCCAACUGACGCUGAAGCACGAAAGCGUGGGUAUCGAACAGGAUUAGAUACCCUGGUAGUC